rnacentral:rRNA from 1 species
UACGGAGGGAGCUAGCGUUGUUCGGCAUUACUGGGCGUAAAGCGCGCGUAGGCGGCUUUGUAAGUUAGAGGUGAAAGCCCGGGGCUCAACUCCGGAACUGCCUUUAAGACUGCAUCGCUUGAAUCCGGGAGAGGUGAGUGGAAUUCCGAGUGUAGAGGUGAAAUUCGUAGAUAUUCGGAAGAACACCAGUGGCGAAGGCGGCUCACUGGACCGGUAUUGACGCUGAGGUGCGAAAGCGUGGGGAGCAAACAGG